UGGGGAAUAUUGCACAAUGGGGGAAACCCUGAUGCCGCGACGCCGCGUGAGCGAAGAAGGUUUUCGAAUCGUAAAGCUCUGUCCUAUGGGAAGAUAAUGACGGUACCAUAGGAGGAAGCCCCGGCUAACUACGUGCCAGCAGCCGCGGUAAUACGUAGGGGGCAAGCGUUGUCCGGAAUCACUGGGCGUAAAGGGUUCGCAGGCGGAAAUGCAAGUCAGUUGUGAAAGGCAGAGGCUCAACCUCUGUAAGCAAUUGAAACUGUAUUUCUAGAGAUGUGGAGAGGCAAGUGGAAUUCCUAGUGUAGCGGUGAAAUGCGUAGAUAUUAGGAAGAAUACCGGUGGCGAAGGCGACUUGCUGGACACAAACUGACGCUGAGGAACGAAAGCGUGGGUAGCAAACAGG
rnacentral:rRNA from 1 species